GGCGCUCGACCAUCCACGGGGGGUCAGCAGCUCCAUGCAGAUCGCUCCUCCAUCCAGGACAUAGCCGUUCUCCAGCCGCGGGGAACACUUGAGAACUUCACUUCCUGUUUUGAGCAUAAAGACUGCCCCGGGAUGACGUUACUUCCCCUUGACGACCCGUCUCUUCCUCCCUCUUCGCUAUAUAAAUCCGAUGAUCCUUCUGCUCUGCAGUCUGUUAUUUAACUUGAUUCGAAGAGAUUACUCUCGUUCCUAACCCAUCGUUAUUUUGCCUUGCAGCGAACCUGACAAUAUACGGGGCGGAUCCCCCCAAACCUU